AAAGGAAUAGACGGGGGCCCGCACAAGCAGCGGAGCGUGUGGUUUAAUUCGAUGAUACGCGAAGAACCUCACCCAGGUUUGACAUGCAUGUGGUACUGAUGUGAAAGCUGAGGGACCCUUCGGGGAGCAUGCACAGGUGUUGCACGGCCGUCGUCAGCUCGUGCCGUGAGGUGUUGGGUUAAGUCCCGCAACGAGCGCAACCCCUGUCGCCAGUUGUAUUUUUCUGGCGAGACUGCCGAGAAAACCUCGGAGGAAGGAGGGGACGAUGUCAGGUCAGCGUGGCCCUUACGCCUGGGGCUACACACACGCUACAAUGGGCAGUACAACGGGUCGCGAAGCCGCGAGGUGGAGCCAAUCCCAUCAAAGCUGUCCUCAGUUCGGAUUGCAGGCUGAAACCCGCCUGCAUGAAGCCGGAGUUGCUAGUAACCGCAGGUCAGCAUUACUGCGGUGAAUACGUUCCCGGGCCUUGUACACACCGCCCGU
rnacentral:rRNA from 1 species